rnacentral:rRNA from 1 species
UACGGAGGGUGCAAGCGUUAUCCGGAUUCACUGGGUUUAAAGGGUGCGUAGGUGGAUCGGUAAGUCCGUGGUGAAAUCCCUGAGCUUAACUCAGGAACUGCCGUGGAUACUAUCGAUCUUGAAUGCCGUGGAGGUAAGCGGAAUAUGUCAUGUAGCGGUGAAAUGCUUAGAUAUGACACAGAACACCGAUUGCGAAGGCAGCUCACUAAACUGUAACUGACGCUGAGGCACGAAAGCGUGGGGAGCAAACAGG